rnacentral:misc_RNA from 1 species
GAAAUGCGAUACGUAAUGCGAAUUGCAGAAUUCAGUGAAUCAUCAAAUCUUUGAACGCAAAUUGCGCUCUCGGGUAUCCCUGGGAGCACGCCUCUUUGAGUAUCGGUUCUACCUCAUCUCGACAGCGUAUUUAUAUGUGUAGUCGGAAAAUGAGUGUCUCAGUUUCUGACUGAGUCGCUUUAAGAACAGAGAAGAACCUGGACCAUCCCACUCUAAAUUGGGGGAUGACGCAAGAUAAUUCACUCUGCGUGAGUGUUUAAAACCUUCGUCUCCUCUGAGGGAUGUGAUCCGGUUUUGAUCCAGGAAUUUUUUUUGGUUUAUUUAUAAAUCGAAAGAAACCCUUUUCAGAAUAAGAUCUCAGAUGAAGCGAGAAUACCCGCCGAAUUUAA